GCCAAUUUGGCAAUGGCCCAAACUACUCACAAUCAGCCCCAUUUUAGCCCAAAAUCUGAUCCAUUCAUCACAUUAGAAAACUUAGACCUAGACAUCAGAGAACUUGGAGGUGAUGAGAGGCUAGAAAAAAGGAUCUCCUCUGUCACAGACCAAAAUGACGCGUCUGUACCUCCCCCUCCCUUCUUCUUCUUUUUUUUCUCCGCACACAAUUCAUUCUCACUCACUCUCACACGGAUAUCUCUCAUCAAACAAAGUUGAAAAUAAAGUUCUGUAUUCAAAAAUUUUAGUUACAGAAAAACAAAGCAAAAACAGUUUUUAAAAAAAAGGAAUCAGAAGAUGUUUAUAAUUUCAUUCGAUUGAUGUAUAUUUUCUGGAUCUUGGAAAGCUGUUUGAGUAGAAGAAGCUGUUGUUUUCUGCUGUUAUUCAUACUGCUGUGGCUGAACUUCACCAAUUAGGAGUUCUAGGCUUUUAUUUGAUUUUUGAGCUGUUGUUUCCAUGCUUUAGGUAUGUAAAUCCCCGCUUGUCCUUUAUUUCAAAUUUUAGGAUGAACUUUGUUGUAUUCCAGUUGAGUUCAUGGUGAUUGAGAUCUGGCUCGCGUAAGCCUCAAAUUCUAUUUGGUUUCUCUCUUUUCUGAUGAAUAACUAAUGUUGAAUGUGCAUCCAUUAAAGGUUCAAGUGUUAGUGAGUAAUUUGAAUGUUUGUUUGGUUUUUUUUUGUUGUUGUGAAUCUAUGAAGGCUGGUUGAAGUUCAUUUAACUUCAAUUGGAUAUGUGUGUUGGAGUGUCAUGUCUGGCAGGUUUAAACAUCAUUCAAGUUGUUUGAAUCAUUCAAUUAUUAUAACUCGAUCACCUGCAAAUAUGAGCUGCAUCGGUUUUCAUGUAUUUUCCAGUGCUACUCUCAAAGAUAUAGAAGCUUCCGACGGAAGUGUUUCUUAGCUACUCAUGUAUUGUCUUAGGAUUGUUGCUUCUCUAGCAUAUAUCUGACUCCUAGCUCUUGUUUCCCUCUUAUUGCAAUGUUUGAGUUAUUGUUUGCUGCCUAAGGUGAUCUAUUUUCAUUGGUUAUGAGGUUCGCAUGGUUAGUGUCCUUCUGCAUACUGUCUAGAAUAAAUUUCAAUCAUGAUAUCUGGAUUAAUAUGGUCUGAAGCGGGUCAACUUUCGAUUUCCUGUUCCUUUUCAUCAAUUGUAAAAUAUUUUUUAAUGUGUAGUUAAAAAGAAAACAUGAUCUAUUGUAAUGGAAAAAGAACAAUAAAACAUAUUGUCCAGAAAAAUUUGUGGGACAUGUAUGAUGAUAUUCAACUUUUUUCUGUAUAUUUUUACAUUCAAAAUACCUUUCAAAAUAGCAUGUAUAUGUAUAUAUAAGUAUGUUUUAUGCUUUUAUUUUUUUUAUCAAUUUUUCAAGAUUUUUAAAAAUUAAUUUAUUGCUUUAUUUUAUCGAGAAAAGCCCAAUAAUUAUUCCUAAAAGGUAGAAUAUAUAGACAGAUACUUAAACUAUCAACGAAAGUUCACUUGAACACCUCAAUUAAGAUAUUUUCCAUCGAAACAAUUUUACUAUACUUUUACUGUAUUAGUUUAACACGUCCGACCUUUAUAUUGUACUAAGCUAACUAAGACAAUAGGGUUAUUUUAUCAAUAUGAUUAUUUUUAUCGACACCAUAAAGGUGGAUGUAAUCAUUAACAAUAUUUUCCCUAAAGGUCGGACGUGUUAAACUGGUGCAGUAAAAGUAUAAUAAAAGUAUUUCGGUGAAAAUGUCUUAGUUGAGGUGUUCAAGUGAACUUUCGUUGAUAGUUUAAGUGUCUGUCUAUGUAUUUUGCCUUCCUAAAAUUUUCAUUUGGGCAAUUCACUUAUUAGAUUCUCAUAUUUAUAUUAAACUAUAGUUAAC
rnacentral:lncRNA from 1 species